UACGGGGGGAGCAAGCGUUGUUCGGAUUUACUGGGCGUAAAGGGCGCGUAGGCGGUCAGCACAAGUCAGUUGUGAAAUCUCCGGGCUUAACCCGGAAAGGUCAACUGAUACUGUGCGACUAGAGUGCGGAAGGGCAACUGGAAUUCUCGGUGUAGCGGUGAAAUGCGUAGAUAUCGGGAGGAACACCAGUGGCGAAGGCGGCGACCUGGGCCAAUAUUGACGCUGAGGUGGCGAAAGCGAUGGGGAGCCAGUAGG
rnacentral:rRNA from 1 species